CAUGUAUAUUAAAAUUUACUUUUUAAUUAGAUAAUUAUUCAUAAACGCUAAAUCCGUCACGUGUGGGACAAAAACAUUUAUAUAUGAACAUUUAUGCGGGAUCAUUUAUGAAUAUAAAAUCCAGUCGUGAUACCACAAACUCUUACAACUUAAGUGCUAUUUUUAUCGUUGAACUUUAGUUUUGGCCGUUACGACUAUAAGGCAAUAUCUACAGUGCUUAAAGUACUGUUUCAAAAACUCAUUAAUAAUUCAGGAGCAAAACACAAAGAAAAAUCAUAUAAGCGUGUCGUGGUUUUAUAUGUGAUAACAAAUCACGUUAAUUUACAUAUUAAACUUUAGCUUUAAUGUGAUUUUCUCGGUUUAGACAAAGUUUAUUUUAAAAAAUGAACUCGUAUAACAUGAGUCGCCAAUGAACUCGUAUAACAUUAGUCGUUUUUGAAGCUAUUUAAAGUCCUACGCGUGCUUUAAACAGUGGGUCUAGCUAUUUUGCGGGCCGCGGGCUGCGGGUCAGUUUUUGCGGGCUGCGGGUCAGUUUUUGCGGGCUGCGGGUUAAAACAAUUGCGGGCCGCGGGCCAAAUUGCUGGCCUAACUAUUUUUUUGUUGCAUGCCAUAUAUGGCAUGCAACCUUCAUAUAGCUCUAAAUUUCGUGUCGCGGUGAGCGUACCGGUCACGUGGAAAUUCGUAAAAUACGACAAAUACCGAGUUUUUCCGACAAGCAAUUCAUCACUCAUGCUCGAGGAAAGGGAAAGAAAAAUGUUUGAGUGUUCGCGGAAAAUAUACAUAAUUGAGCGCCUUAGAAAAAUAGAUCAAGGUAGGUAAAGCUUUGCUGGUUUUUAUUUUCCUUAUAUUCUGUUAUUUGUUGUGAUUCUGGAGCAGUUGUGCUCGCA